rnacentral:rRNA from 1 species
GACGAACGCUGGCGGCGGGCUUAACACAUGCAAGUCGAACGCUGAAGCACAGCUUUUGUUGGGUGGAUGGGUGGCGAACGGGUGAGUAACACGUGAGUAACCUGCCCCAUUCUUUGGGAUAAGGUCCGGAAAGGGGUGCUAAGACUGGAUAUUCACUGGUCUACGGAUGGGGGUUGGUGGUAUGGGUACUUCUGGUGGGGGAUGGGCUCGAGGCCUAUUAGCUUGUUGGUGGGGGGAUGGCCUAACAAGGCUUUGGCGGGUAGCCGGGCUGAGGGGGUGACCUGUCACAUAGAGACGGUGAUACGGCCUAGACUCCUACGGGAGGCAGCAGUUGGGACUAUUGCACAAUGGGCGAUAGCGUCAUGCCGCGUCGCUGCGUAAGGGAUGCGGGCUUUCGAGUUGUGAACCUCUUACGCUCAUGCUCAAGCCGCAACAAUGGUUGUUGUGAGGGUAGUGGGUAAAUAAGCGCCGGCUAACUACGUG